rnacentral:rRNA from 1 species
UCGAUUUGGAGUUUGUUGCCUAGAGUGAUGGGCUCCGAAGCUAACGCGAUAAAUCGACCGCCUGGGGAGUACGGCCGCAAGGUUAAAACUCAAAUGAAUUGACGGGGGCCCGCACAAGCGGUGGAGCAUGUGGUUUAAUUCGAUGCAACGCGAAGAACCUUACCUGGUCUUGACAUCCACAGAAUCUUGCAGAGAUGCGAGAGUGCCUUCGGGAACUGUGAGACAGGUGCUGCAUGGCUGUCGUCAGCUCGUGUUGUGAAAUGUUGGGUUAAGUCCCGCAACGAGCGCAACCCUUAUCCUUUGUUGCCAGCGAUUAGGUCGGGAACUCAAAGGAGACUGCCGUUGAUAAAACGGAGGAAGGUGGGGACGACGUCAAGUCAUCAUGGCCCUUACGACCAGGGCUACACACGUGCUACAAUGGCGUAUACAAAGGGAAGCGAAGGUGCGAGCUGGAGCGGACCUCCUAAAGUACGUCUAAGUCCGGAUUGGAGUCUGCAACUCGACUCCAUGAAGUCGGAAUCGCUAGUAAUCGUGAAUCAGAAUGUCACGGUGAAUACGUUCCCGGGCCU